rnacentral:rRNA from 1 species
CACGUCGGGUGCGAGCGUUGUCCGGAAUUAUUGGGCGUAAAGAGCUCGUAGGCGGUGUGUCGCGUCGGCCGUGAAAACCUGCAGCUUAACUGUGGGCUUGCGGUCGAUACGGGCAUCACUGGAGUUCGGCAGGGGAGACUGGAAUUCCUGGUGUAGCGGUGAAAUGCGCAGAUAUCAGGAGGAACACCGGUGGCGAAGGCGGGUCUCUGGGCCGAUACUGACGCUGAGGAGCGAAAGCGUGGGGAGCGAACAGG